UAUUUAUCGAAUUAGAUUGCCUUGGACGUGGUGGGAUAUUAAAAGGGCGGCUCAUUUCCUUUUUAGGGUAGCUUUGUUCUAUGCAAACAGUUUCGUGUCCAUAAUUUGAUGAUCAUCUGCCAAGGCAGCCGCAGGUUGAAUGGUGGCGAGCCCUAGGCCCGAGCCAUGUGAAAAUUAAUGUUGAUGCUGCAUGGGAUGCUAGCACGCGUACGACCGGACUUGGGUGUAUAGCACGAGACGAGGACAAUAUGGUCUUGGGUAAAAUGGAGAUGAAAGCCUUGUAUAGCUUCGACUCGACAUGGGCAGAGGCUCGCAUGACAACUUUGCGGGCCAGUUCUUCAUUGCUUUUGAGAAGUGCUUUUGAAAAAUUUGAGUGUUUGAUAUUACUGUCAAAAAGUGCUUUUGAGAAAUAAAAUGUCAAUUUUAGACA